GCAAAAUCAUUGAGUAAGAGGAGUAAAUAUUCAGGAAUCGUUACAGAGAGCUAGAGGUUGGUGAAAUUCUAGCACGCCGAAGAGUAUUGAAUGGACUUACGAGAGUUUUCUUGAAGCAUUAGACUAGUAGGGAAAAACGGGUUUCCGCCGUUAUACGGAUAGGAUAUCGGAGCAUAACUUCUCCCGUAUCUGAAAACGAGUUGGGAAGAUUUCUUUCCAAAUGAGGUGGCACCGCGGUUCCUAUCGUCCUCUAU
rnacentral:ncRNA from 1 species